ACCAAAUCUUGCAGUAAAGGCUUUCUCUUCUUGGUUGCCAGUGUUUGGUGUGGCCUGUUUGGCUCAAAUCCAGGAUCUCCAGAUGUUUGUAGAACCUGAACAGCUGCUUUUCACACCUUAACACAUAAAUUAUUAAUUGUGCUUUUGGUUCCACAGGAGGUGGAGCGUUCUUGGUAAAGUCAUGGUAUAAACUGUAUAGCGCUAAGUAAUUUGAGAUACAACUAUUGAGGUAAUUCCUUAAUAAAAGCUGAAUUACAGCAUUUUACUACUCAUCGGUGUAGGUAACUAUAUUUUGUUGUGGAAUUAGCAGGUUUUUCUACUAUCAUAACCAAUAGUUUAUUUUUCAUUGACCAUUCAUUUAAUAUUAUUAGUUUAAAACAUAUUGCAACUAAAUCCACCAACAAACUACAAGGCCUUGUGUUAUUACAACAUGUCAACAGUUUUUUUCCACAUCCUUUAGGCUGUUCUUAUUUAGUAUAUGACCUUGUAUGUUUUUCAGAGUAAAUCACCUAAAUUGACUCGAGUAGUCUUUAAAAGAAGGAAACAUUUCAUCUUGUGGUCUCAGCACAUCUUUUCCCGCUGCAGUUAAAGCCAAAUGUACCACACAUGUUUGGCCAUAAAGAUUACAAUCUGUUUACUGCACCGUAAAAAGAAAAGAAGAUUUAAUACUUACAAUAUUAUCGUUGUAGUAUUAUUUAUUACCUUUAGAGUGCUUUAGAGAGGAAGCCAAAAAAGAUGAAAAAGGGGAAUCAGAUCUUAAAAACAGGUGUAAUAAAUACGGCAGUCAGUAAAGAGGCUGUGAUUUAAAGAGAGGUCAAGAUGUUGUUAAUUCUGAUGUGGCGAGUUAUUUCAGGAUCUAAAAGCCUUUAAUGAUGAAGGUUGCCCGCUUCAGUUUAAGGUUUGGCCUCAAUAAGACUUUGGUGGAUAAUCUGAGCGGGGGAUGCAAAAAAACAUCUGCGAUUAAAACGUCAGAAAGACACUCAUACGGCUUUCCAUGCACUCCUUGCGCUUUACAAGGAUUCAGAGGAUUUUAAAAGCAUCUAAUUGCAGGGGAACGCCAAAAGGCUCGUAAUGAGCUUGUAAUGUCAUUCUGUAAUUUUCUUUUUCUGCAAGUUUAGUGGCAGUUUGGAACAACUAAGGGGCUAGAAUUCAUGCAAGCGGUUACGAUGAUGCUUAAAAUGAGAUUAAUUUAUCUUCUUAAACCAGUUAAAGAAAGAUGAGUUCUCAGCUUAGACAGGCUGGGAAGUAAUCUGAUUUUAAAAACUCAUGCUGGAUCUCAAAGAUAACGCACAUUAGUGUAAGAUAAAGAAUCCCCCCCAAAUAUAUUUAUUUUUUAACACCACAGGGAAGUUGACUGAUCUAAAACCACUGGGUUGCAUUUCACAUUAUUCCCUUGGCACAGUGGUGGGAUAUUGGCAAUUUCAGGCUUGUUUGAUGGCUGAAAAUAUUGACAUUUCAAAGAGUAAUAAAAGUGUAUGCAUCUGACCUGUUUACACUCGGUGCCGUGGAGCUGCAGAUUUGAAGAGUAAAUGAAAAAAAAAAAAAAAAAGAUAUUGGCUCUCUGGAUGCCCCAAUGUUUUAUUUCUCACAUGGAGAGUUGCAUAUGAGCAUGUUUAUUCAUAUCUGCGUUUUAUUCUUUACUCCUUUUAAGAUAAUCGCUGUCAGGAGCAGUGGAUUAUCCUACCGGUCCUCUGGGUUACAAAACAAGUCAUAACAUGACAAUCCCAGGAAGCAUGUGUCAUUAAAUGUGGUCCAGGACUUCGCCUCAUGUGACAGGUGAGCCAGUUCGAUCUCUAGGUGGGAAUCCGUCGUCUUGGGCUCAGGUCUCACGGUCACAGCGAUGACCUUGGAGUUCACAACUGUGUGGUUCCUGAGUCAAACAAAGACGCCCAACGAUUAGAAAAUGAACGGAACUACUUGGAUGUUCCUAUCACUAAAGACAGUACAGACGAUCCAGCAGCGGGCACGAAAUCACAGAGCGCCACGAGACCCGCCAUUUGCAAAGGGGCCUUGUUCACAGCACCAGAUGUUGGGAGCAGCGGAGCGUUGGUCGCUGCACUUUCUGACUUCCUCUCCCGUGCCGUCACACUGAUGCCCGGUCUGCGCUGCCCCCUGGCACACCCGGGCUCGCCUCUGCCAGCCGCCGUCGCAGGACUUCGAGCAGCCGCUCCACGGACCCCAGGGAUUCCACUGGCCGUUAGCUAAAACAAAAUCAUCCUCGGUUCGGGGGCUAUUUCGUGUCCUACAACUAACCUCUGUCGGGAUCGCAUCCGGCGGAGAAAACGAAACAGAAACCACUAUGACCUGUUGGCUAAAAACUAUCCGUGAGACAUUGAUCAAAUCCCAGUAGACGGCGAGGCCACUGCUCCACAUCAGAGCAGCUGAUUCCUCAGACAGAUGCAUGCUCAUGUGUUUUCAAAGAGCUCAUUGUGCCAGCAGUCCUGGAAAAAUUCUUUCAAUUUGGAAACAGUGAUUCAAAUCCUGCACAGGCCUUUAUUGUAGUCAUUAUUCCGUUCUUUUUUCUUUAUUUCAUUCUGUUUUGUUUCAUGUUUUCAAAGAAUGCCCGUUGCCUUUCAGCACUCUAAAUUACUCAAAGAUAUAGUUGAUUGUUUCUGAAACACAUAUUUGGGUUUGCCAUGAACUCUCUUUGUGUUCCGCAAAGCAAGGCAACGCCUCUAGCAGUCAUGGACACCGUGUUGACUUGGUAAAUGAAGGCUCAGACUGCGUUGUCUCACUAAUGUUUGAUCUCUCACCUCGGAAACAAAUAAGAAUUGCUAAAUAGGUAGGGGCCUCAUUAUUAAAUGAAUAAACUGUAUAAUGCAUCCUCUCACUGUGAGGCAAACAGCAGCGACGCCUGCUUCAUUAUCAUGAGCACAAAUUAGAAAUAGGCAUUCACAAGCGUUUGCUAUUUUAGCGGUCUGAGAGAGCAUAAGGU